UCAAUUUUAUUUUAUUUUUUUUUUUUUUUCAUGUGCAAUAACACAAAGAAUGCAAAAAAACUACUUACAUAAACCACAUCGAUGUAACAAUAAGUAACUGAGUAAUUUAUUCAAAUUGUGGAAACUACAAAAAUUAUUCAAAAACAUUUUCCGGCGUUAAAUUUUUCUUAAGUCGAAGGUUUUCUUUUGCUGAAACUCUGCAUCCUCUUUUGCUUAGGAACUCUUUUUAUGAUUAUUGGGAAUUUAAGUAGUAAAAACUAUGAAAGUUUUGCAAUAACUUUCCCCAGUGUCAUGUUUUCUACUUCCUUUUUAUCCUUUUGAUAAAUUUUUGAAUACAUUUCUAGCUGCAAAGACGAAAAAAUUUUUUUUUGAAAUUCGUUUACUGAAAAAUUUUUGGAACUUUCCUGAUAGCCAAGCUUUUUUUUUUAAAAUAGUUGGAUUUCAGCAGUUACAGUUAACUUAACAUCAAGCUUGCGGUAAUUCUUUACAGUACAACAGUUGUAAACAAAUUGACGAAAAUCGACAUCCACAAUUUGAAUACAAGUUAGCACCAAACUUUUGGUUAAAUUUUCUUUCAGCUUUACUACAACUUGACUAAAAUACUUACACUGCAAGUAUUGAUGUCAAGUUGCAGAGUAACUUAUAGACAAUUUAACUAAAACCGUUUGGUUUACAAACUUUUUCCAUCAAGUUGGCUACAAAUUUUGGCAGUAGAUUGAAUAAAAGUUUGAGUUAAGAUGGCUAUCAGGGGCUAUAAUUGUUUUCUUACU